rnacentral:rRNA from 1 species
UCGAUUGAGUUUGAUCAUGGCUCAGGACGAACGCUGGCGGCGUGCUUAACACAUGCAAGUCGAGCGAGGCCCUCCUUCGGGAGGUGUCCUAGCGGCGAACGGGUGAGUAACACGUGGGCAACCUGCCCCUAGCUCUGGGAUAACCCCGGGAAACCGGGGGCUAAUACCGGAUACGACCGAACCGGGCAUCCGGAACGGUGGAAAGAAUUUCUGCUAGGGAUGGGCCCGCGGCCUAUCAGCUUGUUGGUGGGGUGACGGCCCACCAAGGCGUCGACGGGUAGCCGGCCUGAGAGGGCGACCGGCCACACUGGGACUGAGACACGGCCCAGACUCCUACGGGAGGCAGCAGUGGGGAAUAUUGCGCAAUGGGCGAAAGCCUGACGCAGCGACGCCGCGUGAGGGAUGACGGCCUUCGGGUUGUAAACCUCUUUCAGCAGGGACGAAGCGCAAGUGACGGUACCUGCAGAAGAAGCACCGGCCAACUACGUGCCAGCAGCCGCGGUAAUACGUAGGGUGCAAGCGUUGUCCGGAAUUAUUGGGCGUAAAGAGCUCGUAGGCGGUCUGCCACGUCGGCUGUGAAAUCCCGAGGCUCAACCUCGGGCCUGCAGUCGAUACGGGCAGACUAGAGUUCGGUAGGGGAGACUGGAAUUCCUGGUGUAGCGGUGAAAUGCGCAGAUAUCAGGAGGAACACCGGUGGCGAA